UUAUUCGCCAGGCAACAUGGUAACAGGACGAUGUAAUAUCGUUGUUUAAUGAUUACGCGUCCGCUCCAGCCGAAAUGCUUCAGGAUGAAAUGUUUUCAGGAUGAAAGCACGGACACCUCCAUGAUGGAGAAUGGGAGCCGGCUUGGACAUGCUGGUGGGGCAGGAGCCUAAAGGGAACGAGAUCAGGAAGAUCGUGAGGGAACGGCAGUCAAGGAAGAAAGAGGGAUCGCCAGCGAGGGAAUUGCGGGUCGGGAUGACCACCAAGGAAAAGUUUUCAAGGAUGAGCAGGGAAGCAACCGUGUAGCGGGAUUGCUAUAAAACGAAUCGGGGGUACUGAGCAAUCAGUACCCCCAUUUUUUGUU
rfam:Lonsdalea quercina strain ATCC 29281 genome assembly, contig: Ga0052894_scaffold00001.1